GCCGAAGUAGCUCAGUGGCAGAGCAACGCACUCGUAAUGCGUAGGCCGGGGGUUCAAAUCCCCUCUUCGGCUCCA
rnacentral:tRNA from 1 species